AUGAACCUCCUCCUUUUAAUACCAUCAAACCGCAAAGCCGAAAAAAUGGUAUAGCAUUGAACUAUAGACCAUAUCAAACAUUAAAUCGUAAUCCAUUGCACCUACACUAGACCCCAUCAAAAUCUAAACUAGAUAGAGGCCCGCAAGAACAUGUCGUUGAGAUUCUUGUAUCAACGGCUAAACCCGUGCUUUGCGUCUCGAAUGCGGCAAAGUCAUCGGCUUCUCAGCUCCAAUGAAUCUCCUUCUUUAGAUGAUAUUCACAUGACUGAUAGUUGCAUUAAAAGAAUGAAAGAAUUACAGGCAACUGAAACAUCUCCGGAGAAACCACUGCUUCGGUUGGGUGUAGAAACUGGUGGAUGUUCUGGCUUUCAGUAUGUUUUUGAUUUGGAUCACAAAACCAAUCCAGAUGACAGAGUCUUUGAGAAGGAAGGGGUUAAAUUGGUAAUUGAUGAUAUUUCAUAUGAUUUUGUAAAAGGGGCAACCGUUGAUUACGUUGAGGAGCUGAUUCGUUCUGCAUUCGUGGUGAGUACAAAUCCAAGUGCAGUGGGUGGAUGCAGUUGUAAAAGUUCAUUUAUGGUGAAACAGUAGUUUUAAUCAGUCUGUAAUUUGUUCAAUCCAUAAAUUGCACUCCCAGAAUGGGUGAAAAGAUAAAAUGUGCUAUUCCAAUUUGCAAUUUCUCCUAGGCUGUUUACUGGCCUAUGAAAAUUCUGCAUAAGAGGAGACUGGGAUCAGUUUUGAUAUUUACUCAAGUCUGAAGACAGGUAAUUGAUAAGGUAUUGGUUUCCCAGCUACUCCAUAGUUAAAUAGUUAACAUAGUUUUCUUCAUUGUAAAACAACAUCUUAAUGUUUCAUCUAUAAGUAGCACAAUCGUGCCUGUUAAAACUUUAGUGUAAUGGCUUCUUGUACGAGGAAAUGAAUGAACUUGAAUUAAUGAGUAGCUAUUAUUUGGUGCCAUAUUUUGGAUAA